AUUGAACGCUGGCGGCAGGCCUAACACAUGCAAGUCGAGCGAGCGGCGGACGGGUGAGUAAUGUCUGGGAAACUGCCUGAUGGAGGGGGAUAACUCCUGGAAACGGUUGCUAAUACCGCAUACGAGCAGCUCGGACCAGAUGGGAUUAGCUACUUGGUGGGGUAAUGGCUCAACUAGGCGACGAUCCCUAGCUGGUCUGAGAGGAUGACCAGCAACACGGGAACUGAGACACGGUCCAGACGCCUACGGGAGGCAGCAGUGGGGAAUAUUGCACAAUGGGCGAAAGCCUGAUGCAGCCAUGCCGCGUGUAUGAAGAAGGCUUUCGGGUUGUAAAGUACUUUCAGCGGCGAGGCGUUACCCGAAGAAGAAGCACCGGCUAACUCCGUGCCAGCAGCCGCGGUAAUUC
rnacentral:rRNA from 1 species